rnacentral:rRNA from 1 species
AUUGAACGCUGGCGGCAUGCCUUACACAUGCAAGUCGAACGGCAGCACGGGAGCAAUCCUGGUGGCGAGUGGCGAACGGGUGAGUAAAGUAUCGGAACGUGCCCAGUCGUGGGGGAUAACGUAGCGAAAGUUACGCUAAUACCGCAUACGAUCUAUGGAUGAAAGCGGGGGAUCGCAAGACCUCGCGCGAUUGGAGCGGCCGAUAUCAGAUUAGGUCGUUGGUGGGGUAAAGGCCCACCAAGCCGACGAUCUGUAGCUGGUCUGAGAGGACGACCAGCCAGACUGGGACUGAGACACGGCCAAGACUCCUACGGGAGGCAGCAGUGGGGAAUUUUGGACAAUGGGCGAAAGCCUGAUCCAGCCAUGCCGCGUGCAGGAUGACGGCCUUCGGGUUGUAAACUGCUUUUGUACGGAACGAAAAGGACUGCCCUAAUACGGUGGUCCCAUGACGGUACCGUAAGAAUAAGCACCGGCUAACUACGUGCCAGCCGCCGCAGUAAAAC